AUUGAACGCUGGCGGCAUGCCUAACACAUGCAAGUCGAACGGCAGCACAGUAACUUGUUGCUGUUGGCGAGUGCCGAACGCGUACGUAUUACAUAGGCACCUGUCCUUACUUUUUCGUUGGCCCUACGGUAGGCGGAUUUAUACCACAUCCGCAUUACACCUGCGAGCGAAAGCCCUUGAUCUUUCGCCCUUUAGCGUUUGCCUAUGCCGAUGUCGGAUUAGCUAGUUGUCGGGGUAAAGGCCCACCAAGGCGACGAUCCGUAGCUGGUCUGAGAGGAUGAUCAGCCACACUGGAACUGAGACACGGUCCAGACUCCUACGGGAGGCAGCAGUGGGGAAUAUUGGACAAUGGGCGAAAGCCUGAUCCAGCCAUGCCGCGUGGGUGAAGAAGGCCUUCGGGUUGUAAAGCACUUUUGUUGGGAAAGAAAACCUGGGGGCUAAUACCCUGCGGGGAUGACGGUACCCAAAGAAUAAGCACCGGCUAACUACGUG
rnacentral:rRNA from 1 species